UCUCCGUAGGUGAACCUGCGGAGGGAUCAUUAACGCGUUCCAACCCUUUACCAACCCCAAAGCAUGAACCCUUUUCCCAUUUUUUUGCCCCCGUACCAGCACUUUGCCUAACAAUUGAUCAUAUGCGCAAGCGCCGGCCGUCUGCGCUCGCGAGCGCGCCCUCGAUCUUCUCUGGUUCAUCUGUGAUAACAAAAACCAAUAAACAACUCUUUUCAAUGAAUAUCUUGGUUCUCGCAUCGAUGAAGAAGGCCGCAGAUCGGAGGAGCACACGACUGAACU
rnacentral:misc_RNA from 1 species